UAUACUCUGUAUCGUUAGGUAUUUAAAUAAAAGUAAACAAAUAAUUUGUACAUUUUCGGAGACCCAGUUAUAACGUUUAUUGGUUAACCAACCAAAUACAAAACCCCUUGGAUCUGUCACUGAACGACCUGACUUUAAACUACAUUAUUUGAUCAUGUAAUGUUUUCAACUACCCUCAACUGGCUUAAAGAGCCAUUUGAGGGUAGAUUUUGUUUACUUUUAUUUAAAUACCUAAAGAUACAGAGUAUAGAA